rnacentral:lncRNA from 1 species
AAGUAAAAUGUGGAAUGAAAGUUACGUUUAAAUCCAACUAAUAAUUAGACAAUAAACGACACAAUUUUAGCAACUAAUAGACAUUGUCACUAAAAGUCAAAAUGUCACUAACUAAAUAUACAGCAAAUAAAGGAAGCAACUUGUCCAUUUUUUUACUUGGAAAAAAAAAAUUAUUUAACUUUUAUAUCAGCAAAAAGAAAUAUAUAAGAAGCUGGAAAUAAAAUGUUCAUCUUUAUGUACUCAAACCUAAAGAAAAUUUGAUCUCCUUUACUAUAAGACAUCAAAGCUUCUAUCUUUGUAUUUGUUGCAUCUCAUUGCAGUCGCCAUCAAUCACCUCUCAUUAUUUACUAAAGCAUCAGUUCUCCUAAUCAAUCGUCAAUACUACAUUUUAAACAGUAAAUGUACUUCAUUUUAUUUAUU